rnacentral:lncRNA from 1 species
CGACCAACGUCCAGCUCCCCGGCAUGUACAACAAGCAGGAGAACGCCCGCGUGCCCAUCAUCGUCACCGGCAACGACUUCUCCACCCUGUACGCUCCUCUCAUCCGUGACGGUCGCAUGGAGAAAUUCUACUGGGCGCCCACCAGAGAUGACCGGAUCGGCGUCUGCACCGGCAUCUUCAGAGCCGACAACGUCCCCAGGGAGGACAUCAUCAAGCUCGUCGACACCUUCCCCGGCCAGUCCAUUGGUGAGAAUGCCGCCCUCCCACCCUCCUCCUGCCAUCUGGCCUCGGCCGCCGCUGACCCUUCUCCUUCGUCUUCUUCCUGAAGAUUUCUUCGGCGCCCUGAGGGCGAGGGUCUACGACGACGAGGUGAGGAAGUGGAUCGUCGACAUCGGCAUUGAGAACGUCGGCAAGAGGCUCGUGAACUCGCGGGAAGGACCGCCGACGUUCCAGCAGCCGAAGAUGACCCUGGAGAAGCUGCUGGAGUACGGCUCCAUGCUGGUGAAGGAACAGGAGAACGUUAAGAGGGUUCAGCUGGCCGACAAGUACCUCAGCGAGGCGGCUCUCGGGGACGCCAACGCCGACGCCAUGAAGACCGGAGCCUUCUACAGUUGAGCAGCUCUAAUCCCCCAUUUGAUUGCGCACGCUUGGCCAACUCCCACCACCUUCCUUCCGAGUCGUCAUCCUAUUGCUGUUCUCACCCCCUCCCAACCCGCGUCAUCCCCCGCCGAGUCAACUCGGUGGGUCUACGGCAGCCGCCUUUCCAGUCUAUGAACGUGUCAGUUGCAAUACGAUGUACCAGCAUCUCAGGCAAACGGAGAGAGAAUUGAAUCUCCAUUUUAAGAGCCUUGUUCUCGGUAAAAUAUCAGAUGGGUCGCUUACAACGGGGAAUUAUUUUCGGAAUAUAUCAAGACAAAUCUUAAUAUCAAC